UACGGAGGUGCAAGCGUUAUCCGGAUUCACUGGGUUUAAAGGGUGUGUAGGCGGGUAGUUAAGUCAGUGGUGAAAUCUCCAGGCUCAACCUGGAAACUGCCAUUGAUACUAUCUAUCUUGAAUAUUGUUGAGGUAGGCGGAAUAAGUCAUGUAGCGGUGAAAUGCAUAGAUAUGACUUAGAACACCAAUUUGCGAAGGCAGCUUACUAAACAGUUAUUGACGCUGAGGCACGAAAGCGUUGGGGGAUCAAACAGG
rnacentral:rRNA from 1 species